rnacentral:rRNA from 1 species
GUUAGGAAUCUUCCACAAUGGGGGCAACCCUGAUGGAGCAACACCGCGUGCUGGAUGAAGGCCUUCGGGUCGUAAACAGCUUUUGUAUACGAAGAAUAUGACGGUAAUAUACGAAUAAGGGUCGGCUAACUACGUGCCAGCAGCCGCGGUCAUACGUAGGACCCAAGCGUUAUCCGGAGUGACUGGGCGUAAAGAGUUGCGUAGGCGGCUUAUUAAGCGAGUAGUGAAAUCUGGUGGCUCAACCAUCAACACAUUGCUCGAACUGAUAGGCUUGAGAAUGGUAGAGGUAGUUGGAAUUUCUUGUGUAGGAGUGAAAUCCGUAGAUAUAAGAAGGAACACCGAUGGCGAAGGCAAUCCCCUGGGCCUGCACUGACGCUCAUGCACGAAAGCGUGGGGAGCAAACAGGAUUAGAUACCCUGGUAGUCC